rnacentral:miRNA from 1 species
UGCCGUGGUCGCCAUGUGUUGGAAUC